AUGGUGAAUUACUACAAAGUACUAGGUGUGCCUCAAAAUGCUUCCUCCCCUGAUAUUAAGAAGGCUUAUCACCAGUUGGCUCUGCAGGUACACCCAGACAAGAACCCAGGGAACAAAGAGGCAUCUGAGGAGAAAUUCAAACAAGUAGCAAGAGGCCUAUGAGGUCUUGUCCGAUGCCACGAAAUGAAAUGAGUAUGACAAGUCCAGAAGGAACCGAACCAAAAGGGAAACAGAGGAGAUGGCAGAGACAAAAAGCAUUUGGAGGAGGAACUAUGCAUUCUCAGGAUUCUCAGGUGAUGAUUUUUCCCUUGGCCUUGUGGGUAAAGCCAGGAGAUUCCACUCCUCCAUCUUUGAUGUGGCUCCCAUAUUGGACACAGGAUUUUCCACUUUUGUAUCUCUGGGCUCCAGAGCAAGUACCUCUACCUCUGAGACAUUUGAACCCUUUGUAAGCAGCGGACUGAGAAACUUCAGACUGGUCACCACUUGUAGCCAGACAGUAAAUGGCAAGAGAGUUGUUACAAAGAAAGUGCUAGAAGAUGUGAGGGGGAAGAAUGAAGCAGAAAAAGACUGUUUCAUGAGAUUCCUCCACAUCAUUGGAAAUUGAUGGAAAAUCCCUGCUAUUGAUGA
rnacentral:sRNA from 1 species